AAUUAAUCAAGUCACACACUAUCUUAUUUUUCUAGCAUGCAUUCAGAACAAGAUUAGGUUUCCUUUUAAUAUUUAUUUAUUCCAUACAAUGAACAUCUAUCAAUUUUUCGAAGUUGGACUGGAGAAGGGCUGUCAAGGAUCGUGCUUGAUUAGAGAAGCUUUCUCAAAAGACAGACGCUAAUCUUGCGCGGCUUAUUGCAAUUCAAACCACCCACGCCGCAGAAGUCAUGUCAGAUCGCCCUCCUGUCAUCCUCUCAGCCUUCUCUCCACGCUCACCAGUGCGAACUCUUAUUACAUCUGAAACAGGCACCAAGAAAAUCUUGCCAUCUCCAAUCUCUCCAGUCCUUGCCUCCUCAAUGAUCUUUUCUAUCACGGCCUCAACCUGGUCUUUGCUCACCACAAUCUCCAUCUUAACUUUAGCAACAAACUUGUCUUCAGAAAAUUCAGAGCCACCCUGCCUCUCUGUUGAACCACCUUGAGCACCAAAACCUCGAACAUCAGAAACAGUAACACCUCGGAUACCAAUUUUUAGCAAAGCCUUCAUUUUUAUAACAGAAAUAAUAUUAAUAACAUUAUGCAACUUGGUGUUUGAUGAAUCUACAGCUUCAGAAAUUCAACAAUUAGUAAAGUAUAUUUGAAAAUGUGUGUAGGUCAAAUGAUGAUUAAAUGAAGCAAACCUCUGACAACCUGACAGAAGUCAAGACAAUGGAUCUUAACUAGCGAAAAUAUUAUACAACCAUCGCUAUAUGAUCAAAGAUAAAGUGAUUGAAAAAUUACCCACAUCACCCUUUCACUUAUGAUCUUAAACGACAAAAUUUCAAGCAUGCGCCACAAUUUCCAUCAAGGAUUCUUAGUGAGAACUGCUUUCGGUGAAUACUCUAAUUGCAGUGCAGAUGUAAUUUCCAUGGCUGGUCAACUCUUUUGACAAAAUUUUGCAAAUCAAAGUUGCCAGACUUUAAAAAGUUUUAAAAUGCAUUGCAAAUAUAGCUAAAGAUAUCACUAAUAAUAAGCUGGUGAAUUAACUAGUCAAUCCAAAAAAUUUCCUGCAUGCAUAGCGAAGUCCAACUAUGAGGGGAUAAAGCUACUAAUCUUGCAAGAAAUUUAAGAACCUAUGUAUUGCAUCAUUGAAAAGGCGCAUAAACCAUGAAAAGGUCCAUUAGCUCUUACCGAGGAAAC
rnacentral:misc_RNA from 1 species